rnacentral:lncRNA from 1 species
CCUGGGCUGCAUCUUUGCCGAAAUGGUACGGAGGCUUGCCAGGCUCUCUACAGCCCACCCAUACCCACAUCCAAGAGCAAAGCCCAUCUUCUUGCCAGGAACCACAGUGCUUUUAUUCAGGGUUCUCUCACCUGUCACCACUCUAGAGGUGGUUGCCCUGAUACCAACUACAAUUUUGGAAUAUCCCUACACAGAUUUAGUUAACUAGUAUCUAUCUCUUAUUUCCCAAGUGAGCGCAGACCACUCUGUGCCCAUUCAGCUAUUUUGUUUUGGUUGCUCUGUUUUGAGAUCGUCUCACUCUGUAGCCCAGACUGGCUUUGUAUUCUUGAUCGUGUGCUUGGGCUCCACUUUCCACUGUUACCAUCUAGCCCAUGAGAUUGACUUGACAGGCGUGAGCCACCCCGCUGGCUCUACUCAUACAGCUGUUUCGGCUUUAAUCCUCAAAUAUUUGGAAGAAUGAAUUCCAUUGAGUACAACAGGUGGCCCACAGUCCACAUGCUUCCGAUGAUAGCUGUGGAUGUGGCCUCAACACAAAAUCAUAAACUUCAACAGAGUGGAUUUUUGUUUUGUUGGUGGUAGGGGUUUUUGUGCUUUUGUUGUCGUUGUUGCUGUUGCUUUUGGCUGGAUUGGGGUUUGUUUGUUGGUUUUUUUUUGUUUUGUUUUGUUGGUUUAUUUUUGGUUUUGGAGUUUUUUGGUUUUGUGUGUGUCUAUGUGUCUGUGUGUUUUGGUAGCCCUGGCUGUCCUGGAACUUACUCUGUAGACCAGGCUGGCCUCAAACUCAAAGAUCUGCCUGCCUCUGCCUCCCAGGUGCUGAGCUAGAGGUGUACACCCAGCUUUGUUUUUUUUUAUAUUUGAUUUAUUACUAGAGCUUGAGCUUUGCAGAUGAUA